rnacentral:rRNA from 1 species
CCUACGGGUGGCUGCAGUGGGGAAUAUUGGACAAUGGGCGAAAGCCUGAUCCAGCCAUGCCGCGUGUGUGAAGAAGGCCUUCGGGUUGUAAAGCACUUUCAGUGGGGAAGAAAGCCUUGGGGCUAAUACCCUCGAGGAAGGACAUCACCCACAGAAGAAGCACCGGCUAACUCCGUGCCAGCAGCCGCGGUAAUACGGAGGGUGCGAGCGUUAAUCGGAAUUACUGGGCGUAAAGCGCGCGUAGGCGGUCUGAUAAGCCGGUUGUGAAAGCCCCGGGCUCAACCUGGGAACGGCAUCCGGAACUGUCAGGCUAGAGUGCAGGAGAGGAAGGUAGAAUUCCCGGUGUAGCGGUGAAAUGCGUAGAGAUCGGGAGGAAUACCAGUAGCGAAGGCGGCCUUCUGGACUGACACUGACGCUGAGGUGCGAAAGCGUGGGUAGCAAACAGGAUUAGAUACCCUGGUAGUC